GGAGCCUGCGGUAGGGUCGCGGCGAGCCGCCGGGACUUUCUACUCAGAGUCGCGGGGAUUUUACUGGUGGAGUCACUCCGAAACCUUUAAGGCCGGGGUGUGAUAGGUAGUUCAAAGCUUCCUGUUUCUUCAGUCUGACAACUUCAAAUGUCCCGGGUUGUGCUCAAAGCCUCUCUCUUGUGAGAAGGAUCUCUUUGGUUGCCUGUUAAAGCGGUCAGCCAGCUUGCAACACGGAAGCAGCUUUUAGAAGAAUUAAAACCAAAACAAGGAGAAAAUUCUGGAUUAAAAAGAUAUUUGCAACCAUUCUCCAAAUCAAUUUUAGAAAAUUUCCACCACCUCAAAAAGAAACCCUGUUUUGGGAUCAAGAUGAUGCUGGCCUCAUAGAAUGAAUUGGGGAAGAGUCCCUCCUCGUCAGUUUUUUUGGGAUAGUUUCUGCAGGAAUGGUACCAGCUCUUCUUUGUACAUCUGGUUGAAUUCGGCUGUGAAUCCAUCAUGUCCUGGGCUUUUUUGUUGGUGGAUGAAGAAACAUCCUGAGAAGGUUGACAUGCUGAAUGCCUUGAAGAACUUCAAUUGAGAUGCCAGAUGAAAGUGUAACUAGAAUUUCUAUGGCUUAAAUAACGAGAUUUAUUCUCAAGAUGGUGGAUUAGAGCUUUUGGCAUGCCUUGGCCCCAUGGAAGUAGUAAGAUGGUACAUAAAGAUCAACUCUCUGAGCUGUAAUUCAAGAAGGAAAAUGGGAAUCCACUGGAAUCAUGAAGGAUGCCCCAGGUGCCAGGGAGGAGAAUGUGGGCAAACAGUCCCCAUGAUGGUGUUACAGCUGAUAUAAACUGGAAUGCAGUGGCGUGAUCUCGGCUCACUGCAACCUCCGCGUCCUGGGUUCAAGUGAUUCUCCUGCCUCAGCCUCCCAAGUAGCUGGGACUACAGCACGCACCACCAUGCCCAGCUCUCCUCUCCACUGACAGCUGCUUUACUCACUCAAAAUUCUCCACAUUCACUGUCUUUCAAUUCAUCCACGUGACUUCAUUCCUCUUGGGCGCUGGACGAGAAUUCAGGACACACCAGAUUGGGAAAGAGUAGCUAACCAAGUGAGAGAUAACUCCAGGAAAAUCCAACAUUUCAACUGUGAUGGAGAUAUCAGGGAUGUCAAAUGCAUCAGAAAGGUCUAGGAAGAUAAGAAUGGAAAAAUGCUAUGUUUAUCAACACAAUUGUUCUAUUCCUUUUGAAAUGUGAAGCCGGCUGGGCUUCUGGGUCAGGUGGGGACUUGGAGAACUUUUGUGUCUAGCUAAAGGAUUGUAAAUGCACCAACCAGUGCUCUGUGUCUAGCUAAAGAAUUGUAAACACACCCAUCAGCACUCUGUGAAAACGAACCAAUCAGCAGUCUGUAAAAUGGACCAAUCAGCACUCUUUAAAAUGGACCAAUCAGCGCUCUGUAAAAUGGACCAAUCAGCAGGAUGUGGGCGGGGCCAAAUAAGAGAAUAAAAGCUGGCCACCUGAGCCAGCAGCGGCAACCUGCUCAGGUCCCAUUCCAUGCCGUGGAAGCUUUUUCUUUCGCUCUUCACAAUAAAUCUUGCUGCUGCUCACUCUUUGAGAAGGCACUAUGUUUAAGAGCUAUAACACUCACUGCAAAGGUCUGCGGCUUCACUCCUGAAGUCAGUGAGACCAUGAACCCACCAGGAGGAACAAACAACACUGGACGCGCCAGCUUUAAGAGCUCACUGUGAAGGUCUGCGGCUUCACUCCUGAAGUCAGCAAGACCACGAACCUACUGGGAGGAACAAACAACUCUGGACGUGCCACCUUUAAGAGCUGUAACAUUCACUGCAAAGGUCUGUGGCUUCACUCCUGAAGUCAGCGAGACCACGAACCCACCAGAAGGAAGAAACUCCGGACACAUCUGGACAUCUGAAGGAAUAAACUCCGGACACACCAUCUUUAAGAACUGUAACACUGACCAUGAGAGUCCACGGCUUCAUUCUUGAAGUCAGCAAGACCAAGGACCCACUGGAAGGAGCCAAAUCUGGACACAUUUUGGCGACCACGAAGGGACUAUCGCCUAUCGCCAAGCGGAUUGAUGCCAUCAAGCUACAGAUGGUCUUACAAAUGGAACCCCAAAUGAGCUCAACUAACAACUUCUACCAAGGACCCUUGGACCAACCCACUGGCCCUUUCAGUGGCAUAACGAGUUCCCCUCUGGAGGAUACUAGAACUGCGGGGCCCCUUCAUAGCCCCUAUCCCCCAGGAAGUAGCUAGAGCUGUCAUCACCCAAUUCCCAACAGCAGUUAGGGUGUCCUGUUUAGAGGGAGGAUUGAGAGGUGAAGCUGGCUGGGCUUCUGGGUUGGGUGGGCACUUGGAGAACUUUCGUGUCUAGCUAAAGGAUUGUAAAUGCACCAAUUAGCGCUCUGUGUCUAGCUAAAGGAUUGUAAACACACCAAUCAGCACUCUGUAAAAACGCACCAAUCAGCACUGUGUAAAAUGGGUCAAUUAGCAAGCACUCUGUAAAAUGGACCAAUCAGCAAGAUGUGGGCAGGGCCAAAUAAGGGAAUAAAAGCUGGCCACCUGAGCCAGCAGUGGCAACCUGCUAGGGUCCCAUUCCACCCUGUGGGAAGCUUUAUUCCUUUGCUCUUCACAAAUCUUGCUGCUGCUCACUCUUUGGGUCCGCAUUACCUUUAUGAGCUGUAACACUCACUGCGAAGGUCUGCGGCUUCAUUCCUGAAGUCAGUGAGACAAAGAACCCACCGGGAGGAACUAACAACUCCAGACACGCCACCUUUAAGAGAUGUAACACUCACUGCGAAGGUCUGUGGCUUCACUCCUGAAGUCAGCGAGACCACGAAUCCACCAGAAGGAAGAAACUCUGGACACAUCUGAACAUCUGAAGGAACAAACUCCAGACACACCAUCUUUAAGAACUGUAACACUCACCAUGAGGGUCCGUGGCUUCAUUCGUGAGGUCCGCGAGAUCAAGAACCCACUGGAAGGAACCAAUUCUGGACACACUUUUGUGACACUACAGUCAGUAGAGAAAUGUGUGAGAUGAUGGAAGGGGGAGACUGACUGGAAGAUGAGGAUGCCAAUGCAGAAACCAUACAUGAGACACAUUUUUCAAAAAGUUUGACUUUGAAGGGAAGAGGAAAAAAAAGGAGAUGAUGCCAUGGCUUAAGAGGAAGGAGUGUGGUGGAGAAGGAAGAACUUGCAUUGUCAUAAUGUCAACGUGCACAUAUGGAACAGGAGAAUAUGCUGGGUGAGUUCUACUGGAACCAGUUUCUGUCAGUUAUUGGAGGCUGUACAAGCAUGGCUCCAGUAUCUGCUUCUGGUGAGGGUCUCAGGAAGCUUCCAAUCAUGGCAGAAAGCAAAGGAAGAGCAGGUGAUGUCACAUGGCAAGAGUGAGAUCAAGAGACAGAGAGAGCUAUAGUGAUAGUACUGGCAUUGGAUAAACAUUCCCAUUCCAAAAGGGAGAAAUCAGCCCAUAGAAAGGGGCCACAGGCCUCAAGCAAGUCUGAAACCCAGCAGUGCAGUCAUUAAAUCUUAAACCUCCAAAAUAAUCUUCUCUGACUCCAUAUCCCAUAUCCUUGGCACACUGAUGUAAGAGUUGGACUCCCAAGGCCAUGGAGAGCUCCGCCUUUGUGGUUUUGCAGAGUGGAUCCCCCAUGGCUGCUCUCACAGAGAUGGAGUCUCUCUGUUGUCCAGGCUUGUCUGGAACCCUUGGGCUCAAACAAUCCUCCUGCCUUGGCCUUCCAAAAUUUGGGAUUACAGGCAUGAGCCACCACACCCAGCCAGGAAAGAGGUUGAAUUGGAUCAUGGUUCUGCAGGCUGUAUAAGUACAGCUGCAGCAUCUGCUUCUUGUGAGAGUCUCAGGAAGCUUCCAAUCAUGGAGGAAGGCAAAGGGAAAGCAAGCAAUGUCACAUGGCAAGAGUGAGAGCAAAAGAAGGAGAGAAGUGGGAAGUCUUCAACUUUUAAACAACCGGAUCUCACGUGAACUGAUGGAGAACUCUGCUAUUACCAAGGGGAUGGUGCGAAGCCAUUCAUGAGGGAUUAGCUCCUGUGAUCCAAUAAUCUCCCACCAGGCCCCAGCUAUAACGUUGAGGAUUACGUUUCAACAUGAGAUUUGGAGAGGACAAACAUUGAAACUAUACUAUCUUCUUUUGAGAAAUGUCUAUUUAGAUCCUUUUUCCAUUUUCUAAUUGGAUUUUUUUUUUGCUGUUUAAUUUUUUGAGUUCCUUGUAUAUGCUGAAUAUUAGUCCUUUGUCUGAUGAAUAAUUUGCAAAUAACUUCUCCCAUUGUAUAGGUUGUCUCUUCACUAUGUUAAUUUUUUUCUUUGCUAUGCAGAAACUUUUUUAGUUUGAAAUAAUCUCACUUGUCUACUUUUGCUUUUGUUGCCUGUUUUUUUGAGGUUUAAGCUCUAAAACCUUUUUCUAGACAAAUUUCCUGAUGCAUUUCCCCUGUGCUUUUUUUUCUAUUAACUGUAUAGUUUUGGGUCUUACAUUUAACUCUUUAACCCAUUUUGAGUUGAUUUAUUGUAUGGGGAGAGAUAGGAGUCUAGUUUAGUUCUUCUUAGAUAUCAAAUUUCCCAGAAUCAUUUAUUGAAGAGAUUGUUCUUUCUCCAACAUACGUUCUUGGAGUGGUUGUCUAAAAUCAGUUGACCAUAAAUACUUGGAUUUAUUUCUGAGUUUUGUAUUUUGUUCCAUUGGUCCACGUAUUGUUUUUUAGGAUCUUUAAAAAAUUUCUAUGAAGAAUGUCAUUGGUAUUUUCAUAAGAAUUGCAUUGAAUCUGUAGAUGGCUUGGGACAGUAUUGUCAUUUUUACAAUAUGAGUUUUUCGAAUUUAUGAACAUCUUUCUCUUUGUGUCUUUUUAAAUUUCUUUCAUCAGUGUUUUGUAGUUUUCAUAGUAGACAUCUUUCACCUUGUUGGUUAAAUAUAUUCUUAGGUAUUUUAUUUUUUUGUAGCUAUUGUAAAUGAAUUACUUUCUUGAUUUCUUUUUCAGCUAGUUUGUUAUUGGUGUAUGUAAAUACUACAAAUUUUUGUGUGUUAAUUUUGUGUCCUGCAACUUUAUUGAAUUCAUUUAUCAAAUCUAAGAGGUUUUUUGUUGGAGUUUUUAAGUUUUUCUAUAUAUAUAUAAGAUUAUAUUGUCUGCAAAGAGGGACAAUUUGAUGAUUUUACAAUUUGGAUGCACUUUAUUUAUUUAUUUUUGAGAUGAAGUUUUGCUCUUAUUUCCCAGGCUGGAGUGCAAUGGUGCAAUCUCGAUUCACUGCAAGCCUUGCCUCCUGGGUUCAAGCCAUUCUCCUGCCUCAGUCUCCCUAGUAGCUGGGAUUACAGGCGCCUGCCACCACGCCCAGCUAAUUUUUUGUAUUUUUAGUACAGACAGAGUUUCACUCUAUUGGCCAGGCUGGUCUUGAACUCCUGACCUCAGCUGAUCCACCUGCCUCAGCCUCCCAAAAUGCUGGGAUUACAGACGUGAGCCACCGCGCCCAGCCCACUUUAUUUUUUCUCUUGGCUAAUUGCUCUGGCUAGGACUUCCAAUACUGUGUUGAAUAAGAAUGGUGAAACUGGGCAUCCUUCUGUUCUACCUCUUAGAGGAAUGGCUUCCAACUUUUCCCCAUUCAGUAUAAUGUUAGCUAUGGGUUUGUCAUAUAUGGCCUUUAUUAUACUGGAGGAUGUUUCUGCUAUACCUAAUUUAUUGAGAGUUUUUGUUAUAAAGGGAUGUUGAAUUUUAUCACAUGAUUUGUCUGCAUCUAGUGAGAUGAUCAUAUGGUUUUGUCUUUCAUUCUGUUAAUGUGAUGUACCAUGUUUAUUGAUUGUAUAUGUUAUGAUUUGUGUAUGGAACCAUCUUUGCUUCCCUGAAAUAAAUCCCAUUUGCUCAUGGUGUAUACCCUU